CGGAGGUGAUGAGCGCUUUUGUGCCUGACGCGUCCAGCUGUGGAGGCCAAAGCUGAUUUAAUGAGCCUGAUCC
ensembl:snoRNA small nucleolar RNA, C/D box 57